rnacentral:rRNA from 1 species
UACGGAGAGUGCAAACGUUGCUCGGAAUCAUUGGGCGUAAAGCGCACGUAGGCGGACCAUCAAGUCAGUUGUGAAAUCCCUCGGCUUAACCGAGGACGUGCAUUCGAAACUGAUGGCCUUGAGUACGAAAGAGGAUCGCGGAAUUCCCGGUGUAGAGGUGAAAUUCGUAGAUAUCGGGAGGAACACCAGUGGCGAAGGCGGCGAUCUGGGUCGAUACUGACGCUGAGGUGCGAAAGCGUGGGGAGCAAACAGG